AUCAAACCCAGAAUCAAAACGCAUAUCCUCUCCCUUUACUCUCUAAAUUUCGAUCCCUCUCCAUUGUUCAAGCAUUGAAGCCAUGAAGCAUCUCCAUAUCCUUGCCGUAGUCAUCAUCAACGUCCUCCAUCCUUUUGAAGUUUUUCUUGCAUCCUUGAAUCUCUUCAAAAGUGAAGUAUACCCCAAUCCCUGGCUUAGAAUGAUACCCUACUUAUUCUAUACUACUAUUCAAUGUAGGGUUUAAAUUGGCACUCACUUUGAGUGUAUCAUAAACAUAAGAGGAGAAGAGCCAUACCAUUAUUGUCUCACAGCUGUAUAGCCAGCUAACAAGUAGCUCUGUUGAUUAUUUCUGUCGAGUUGUAGUGAUAUGGGUGGUAAGUGAUACAUAGUGUUUCCCAUAUCACAGAAGUGUUUCUUGGAGCUAGCAUCAUCCCAAUUUUUUCAGGCUCAUCUUCAAUUACUACAAUCUUCCUCUUAAACUGCAGAUUUAAACAUAAUUAGCCCAUUAUUUCUGAAAGGAUUAACGUACAAAAUGGUAUUUAAAUCUUACCGCAU